AGGGGAGCGUCCUGCACGAGGUGAAGCUGCCACGGGAGUGUGUGGUGGAUUGUGUGGGAGUGAGAAUGCAGGCAUGAGUAGCGAAUCACGGGUGAGAAACCCGUGCGCCGGAUGAUCAAGGGUUCCAGGGUCAAGUUAAUCUGCCCUGGGUGAGUCGGGGCCUAAGGCGAGGCCGACAGGCGUAGUCGAUGGACGACCAGUUGAUAUUCUGGUACCGGUGUAGCACCGUCCGUGUCGAGGUGUGUGAUGCUAAGCGUGCGAGUGUCCUGGUGAUCCCUUCGGGGUGAUCUUGUGGCGUGAGUGUGUGAACCGAUCAUGUAGUAGACAAGCUGCGGAGGGACACAGUGAGGUAGCUCGUCCCCGGCGAUGGUUGUCCGGGGCUAAAUGUGUGGACUGUCUGGUAGGUAAAUCCGUCAGACGUUGAGUUGAGGCAUGAUGGCGAGCCAUGUUUGUGUGGUGAGCGAGUGAUCCUGUGCUGUCGAGAAAAGCUUCGUGAGCGAGGUGUGAGCCGCCCGUACCCUAAACCGACACUGGUGGAUAGGUAGAGUAUACCGAGGCGAUCGAGAGAAUCAUGGUGAAGGAACUCGGCAAAAUGCCCCCGUAACUUUGGAAGAAGGGGGACCUGAGCUGUUGCCGCCACGUGCUGGUGGUUGCGGUGAGGGGCGCAGAGAAUUGGGGGAAGCGACUGUUUACCAAAAACACAGGUCCGUGCGAAGUCGUAAGACGAUGUAUACGGACUGACUCCUGCCCGGUGCUGGAAGGUUAAGGGGAACUGUGA
rnacentral:rRNA from 1 species